rnacentral:lncRNA from 10 species
AAGAUAAACAGAAUGAUGCAUAGUGUGCAUGAUCUGGCCCAGCCUUUGUCUCUUGGCUUCAUUUAUUAUGUCUCACUCUGUGCUCUAGCUUUGUAGGUUUUGAAAGCGUCACGCCUUCUUCCUCCAGAUCCCUCGCACAUGCUGUUCCCUCAUCUUGAAGUGUCCUUCUGCCAUUUAUAAGGACCUGAUGAUUGAUUUAGCAUCUUUGGCAUCCGGCCACUGCUCUGCUUGGCCAUACUGCUGCCUUCACCCUCAGCUGUUGCAACUCUUUUGGCCACUUUGUGUAACUGCCCUGCCAAGCCCUGCUUCCUGGCUGUCCAAAGAAAGAAGUGUUUCCUACAGGAGAUCACAACAAAAGGAUGAAAUCUGGGGUGCAGGGGAAGGGUAGCUUCUGAAGCUGGAAAAUAAAGAAGUAAGGAAGGGAGACUGUGGAAUUUACCAGGGAGGGAAACUAAUAUUUCCUUUCAUAUAAGUUGGUACUAUUCUGGCUUUUUACCAUGAUCAUAUAUUAUAUUCAAAAUAAAGCUCUUGUUUUUGAAACAAAAAAAUAUAAACAAAGGAAGGAAGGAUGUUCAUUUAUUUAGAUAAUAGAUACCUAGUGAACCCCUAGUAGACCUUGUACUGGGUCCUGGGGACACUGGUGACCAGGUUCCAUUCCUGAUCUCCUGGAGCAGGGGACACGAAAAGACAUUAAGCAAAUAAUUACACAUCUUUUUACAUCAGUACAAAUGUUGGGACUUUGCAAGAGUUCCACCCUGAAAGCUUCUGUUUUCACUGAAAGAGAGGAGGCAAGGUCAUUUGUUCAUAAAAGCAAUGGAAUUGAGUAGGGGACUUGAAAGAAAUGAUGAGGCUAGGAAAAGCAGCUAUAGGAAAGGGGGCACCAGUCAGACUAAGAAUAUGUAACCAGAGCACAGCUGUGCAUACUUUGCUUGAAUGUCUCCAAGUUCAAAUCCAAGAACUUGAUAUUUUAGGUUGAUUCUAUGUGUAACCUAUUUGUUUUUAAAGAGUAGAGUCUUUUUCUUCCAGCAUGUGUUAGUUAGCCCUGUCUUUAUCACAUCACCACCACCAAUUGUCAUUUGCAGAAGUAUCUUCAACUCAUCAUAAAUUUACUAGUAAUAGCUAACUCAUGUCUAUAGAACUGUUAAGUGACAAGAUAAUAUUUAGAUUAAAAGCUAUAGUUGCAUUCUUAUUAGAGACUUAAUCAGAUUUUAACAUGCUCCUCACAGGGGCCAUUUAGCCCUAUUCUGCUGGGCUUUGGCAAGCACUGAAUGAUUGCCCUCCUAGGGCAGAGGUACUGCAGCCCUGGUUAAGCAUUGAAAAGAUGAUAUUACCAAUAAGUUGACUCUAAUUGUAAACAACAUAUUUAAACAAUUACAUCUUAAUUAAAUUCUUAUAAAUUAUAAGUGCCUCAGAACUUUCUUUCUUAAUCUCAAAUGCAUGUUUCUUAAAAUCAUUCACUAUUUUAUGAGAAUAUAUUUGCUGAAUAUUAGAAAAAAGAGUUAAAAAUAAAAGGCAU